rnacentral:rRNA from 1 species
GAGGAAUAUUGGUCAAUGGGCGCGAGCCUGAACCAGCCAAGUAGCGUGCAGGAUGACGGCCCUAUGGGUUGUAAACUGCUUUUGUAUGGGGAUAAAGUCAAUCACGUGUGAUUGUUUGCAGGUACCAUACGAAUAAGGACCGGCUAAUUCCGUGCCAGCAGCCGCGGUAAUACGGAAGGUCCGGGCGUUAUCCGGAUUUAUUGGGUUUAAAGGGAGCGUAGGCCGGAGAUUAAGUGUGUUGUGAAAUGUAGACGCUCAACGUCUGACUUGCAGCGCAUACUGGUUUCCUUGAGUGCGCACAACGUUGGCGGAAUUCGUCGUGUAGCGGUGAAAUGCUUAGAUAUGACGAAGAACUCCGAUUGCGAAGGCAGCUGACGGGAGCGCAACUGACGCUUAAGCUCGAAGGUGCGGGUAUCGAACAGGAUUAGAUACCCUGGUAGUCCGCACAGUAAACGAUGGAUGCCCGCUGUUGGUACCUGGUAUCAGCGGCUAAGCGAAAGCAUUAAGCAUCCCACCUGGGGAGUACGCCGGCAACGGUG